GCCAUGGAUCAGGGUUAGAGCAUUUGUCUUCCAAGCAGAACAUACCAGGUUCAAUCCCUGGUAUCUCCA